rnacentral:rRNA from 1 species
UUAGAGUUUGAUCCUGGCUCAGGAUGAACGCUAGCGGCAGGCUUAACACAUGCAAGUCGAGGGGUAACGGGGAAGCUUGCUUCCGCCGACGACCGGCGCACGGGUGCGUAACGCGUAUACAAUCUACCUUGUACUGGGGUAUAGCCUUUAGAAAUGAAGAUUAAUCCCCCAUAGUCUCUUAGAGUGGCAUCACUUCUAGAGUAAAGGUUACGGUAUAAGAUGAGUAUGCGUUCUAUUAGUUUGUUGGUGUGGUAACGGCACACCAAGACUACGAUAGAUAGGGGCCCUGAGAGGGGGAUCCCCCACACUGGUACUGAGACACGGACCAGACUCCUACGGGAGGCAGCAGUGAGGAAUAUUGGACAAUGGAGGCAACUCUGAUCCAGCCAUGCCGCGUGCAGGAAGACUGCCCUAUGGGUUGUAAACUGCUUUUAUACAGGAAGAAACACCUCUACGUGUAGAGGCUUGACGGUACUGUAAGAAUAAGGAUCGGCUAACUCCGUGCCAGCAGCCGCGGUAAUACGGAGGAUCCAAGCGUUAUCCGGAAUCAUUGGGUUUAAAGGGUCCGUAGGUGGAUAAUUAAGUCAGAGGUGAAAUCUUGCAGCUCAACUGUAAAAUUGCCUUUGAAACUGGUUAUCUUGAGUUAUUAUGAAGUAGUUAGAAUAUGUAGUGUAGCGGUGAAAUGCAUAGAUAUUACAUAGAAUACCAAUUGCGAAGGCAGAUUACUAAUAAUCAACUGACACUGAUGGACGAAAGCGUGGGUAGCGAACAGGAUUAGAUACUCUGGUAGUCCACGCCGUAAACGAUGGUUACUAGCUGUUUGGACUUCGGUCUGAGUGGCUAAGCGAAAGUGAUAAGUAACCCACCUGGGGAGUACGUUCGCAAGAAUGAAACUCAAAGGAAUUGACGGGGGCCCGCACAAGCGGUGGAGCAUGUGGUUUAAUUCGAUGAUACGCGAGGAACCUUACCAGGGCUUAAAUGUAAGUUGCAUUAGUUAGAGAUAGCUAUUUCUUCGGACCACUUACAAGGUGCUGCAUGGUUGUCGUCAGCUCGUGCCGUGAGGUGUCAGGUUAAGUCCUAUAACGAGCGCAACCCCUGUUGUUAGUUGCCAGCGAGUCAUGUCGGGAACUCUAACAAGACUGCCAGUGCAAACUGUGAGGAAGGUGGGGAUGACGUCAAAUCAUCACGGCCCUUACGUCCUGGGCUACACACGUGCUACAAUGGUAGGUACAGAGAGCAGCCACUGCGCGAGCAGGAGCGAAUCUAUAAAACCUAUCACAGUUCGGAUCGGAGUCUGCAACUCGACUCCGUGAAGCUGGAAUCGCUAGUAAUCGGAUAUCAGCCAUGAUCCGGUGAAUACGUUCCCGGGCCUUGUACACACCGCCCGUCAAGCCAUGGAAGUUGGAAGUGCCUGAAGUCCGUCACCGCAAGGAGCGGCCUAGGGUAAAGUCGAUAACUAGGGCUAAGUCGUAACAAGGUAACC